GUUUGGGGGGAGAAAAGUAGGGGAUUGCAAGACCUUUCGCUUUUGGAGUGGCCGAUAUCAGAUUAGCUAGUUGGUGGGGUAAAGGCUCACCAAGGCGUCGAUCUGUAGCGGGUCUGAGAGGAUGAUCCGCCACACUGGGGCUGAGACACGGCCCAGACCCCUACGGGAGGCAGCAGUGGGGAAUUUUGGACAAUGGGCGAAAGCCUGAUCCAGCCAUGCCGCGUGAGUGAAGAAGGCCUUCGGGUUGUAAAGCUCUUUCAGCCGGAAAGAAAUCGUGCAGGCUAAUAUCCUGCAUGGAUGACGGUACCGGAAGAAGAAGCACCGGCUAACUACGUGCCAGCAGCCGCGGUAAUACGUAGGGUGCGAGCGUUAAUCGGAAUUACUGGGCGUAAAGCGUGCGCAGGCGGUUUUGUAAGACAGGCGUGAAAUCCCCGGGCUUAACCUGGGAACUGCGUUUGAAACUACAAAGCUAG
rnacentral:rRNA from 1 species